rnacentral:rRNA from 1 species
UACGUAGGGGGCAAGCGUUGUCCGGAAUCAUUGGGCGUAAAGAGCGUGUAGGCGGCCUGGAUAGUCUGGUGUGAAAUCUUGGGGCUCAACCCCAAGCGGUCACUGGAUACUUCCAGGCUUGAAUCCGGAAGAGGAGAGUGGAAUUCCUGGUGUAGCGGUGGAAUGCGCAGAUAUCAGGAGGAACACCAACGGCGAAGGCAGCUCUCUGGUACGUGAUUGACGCUGAGACGCGAAAGCGUGGGUAGCAAACAGG